rnacentral:rRNA from 1 species
UACGUAGGGUGCUAGCGUUGUUCGGAAUCAUUGGGCGUAAAGCGCGUGUAGGCGGUUAGUUAAGUCGAUUGUGAAAUCCCUGGGCUUAACCGAGGAAGUGCAUUCGAAACUAACUAGCUAGAAGACGGUAGAGGAAGGUGGAAUUCCUAGUGUAGAGGUGAAAUUCGUAGAUAUUAGGAGGAAUACCGGUGGCGAAGGCGGGUCUCUGGGCCGAUACUGGACGCUGAGGAGCGAAAGCGUGGGGAGCGAACAGG